rnacentral:rRNA from 1 species
CCUACGGGAGGCAGCAGUGGGGAAUAUUGGACAAUGGGCGAAAGCCUGAUCCAGCAAUGCCGCGUGAGUGAUGAAGGCCUUAGGGUUGUAAAGCUCUUUUACCCGGGAUGAUAAUGACAGUACCGGGAGAAUAAGCUCCGGCUAACUCCGUGCCAGCAGCCGCGGUAAUACGGAGGGAGCUAGCGUUAUUCGGAAUUACUGGGCGUAAAGCGCACGUAGGCGACUUUGUAAGUAAGAGGUGAAAGCCUGGUGCUCAACACCAGAACUGCCUUUUAGACUGCAUCGCUUGAAUCCAGGAGAGGUGAGUGGAAUUCCGAGUGUAGAGGUGAAAUUCGUAGAUAUUCGGAAGAACACCAGUGGCGAAGGCGGCUCACUGGACUGGUAUUGACGCUGAGGUGCGAAAGCGUGGGGAGCAAACAGGAUUAGGAUACCCUGGUAGUCCACGCCGUAAACGAUGAUAACUAGCUGUCGGGGCUCUUAGAGCUUCGGUGGCGCAGCUAACGCAUUAAGUUAUCCGCCNGGGGAAGUCGGCCGCAGGUUAAACCUCAAAUGAAUUGACG